rnacentral:rRNA from 1 species
GACGAACGCUGGCGGCGUGCUUAACACAUGCAAGUCGAACGGAAAGGCCCUGCUUUUGUGGGGUGCUCGAGUGGCGAACGGGUGAGUAACACGUGAGUAACCUGCCCUUGACUUUGGGAUAACUUCAGGAAACUGGGGCUAAUACCGGAUAGGAGCUCCUGCUGCAUGGUGGGGGUUGGAAAGUUUCGGCGGUUGGGGAUGGACUCGCGGCUUAUCAGCUUGUUGGUGGGGUAGUGGCUUACCAAGGCUUUGACGGGUAGCCGGCCUGAGAGGGUGACCGGCCACAUUGGGACUGAGAUACGGCCCAGACUCCUACGGGAGGCAGCAGUGGGGAAUAUUGCACAAUGGGCGGAAGCCUGAUGCAGCAACGCCGCGGGCGGGAUGACGGCCUUCUGGUUGUAAACCGCUUUCGCCUGUGACGAAGCGUGAGUGACGGUAAUGGGUAAAGAAGCACCGGCUAACUACGUG